CAAGACUCCCUGAUGGGAGCUUAUGUCCGCACCACGUUUCUAGGCCGUUGGAUCUAAUCCAACGGUUGGGAAAUUAAAACCAAUCUCGCGGGUAAAAUAGGGAUUGGGUUGGGUAAAAAUUGUCUCACGGGUCGUCCGGCUCCCAUACACUGGUCAAAACCCCUUCUGUCCUCAACACAACACAGACGGACAAAGAAGGGAGAGAGAGAAGAGGCGAUUGCAGAAGAACCACUGAUAACGACAAACAAUUGAUCUCCCCGACGCACGACGACCAACGAACGGCAUAGCAACACCAAGAAAGGGAAAACAUGAGGUUGAGAAGAUGGCGACGUGCGGAGAUGGAGAAAAUAGAAAGGCAAUAGGGGUUGAAUUUGAACAUUUGGAAGAUCGGCAAACUAUAAUUUAUAUAGAUUUGAUGUGAUUUGUAUGAAUGUAUUAGGUGUGGAUCAACUCCUUUAAAUUUGCUUAAUAUUUUUUGGUAGAUUGAUUUGUAA